AGAGUUUGAUCCUGGCUCAGAACGAACGCUGGCGGCGCGUUUUAAGCAUGCAAGUCGAGCGGCAAGGGGGGCUUCGGCCCUCCCUAGAGCGGCGGACGGGUGAGUAACACGUGGACAAUCUGCCCCCCGGUUCGGGAUAGCCCAGGGAAACCUGGAUCAAUACCGGAUGCGACCGAUGGUACGCAGGUACCGUUGGGGAAAGGCGCUUCGGCGCCGCCGGGGGAUGAGUCCGCGCCCCAUUAGCUAGACGGUGAGGGUAACGGCCCACCGUGGCGAUGAUGGGUAGCCGGCCUGAGAGGGUGUACGGCCACAUUGGAACUGAGACACGGUCCAGACUCCUACGGGAGGCAGCAGUUAGGAAUAUUCGUCAAUGGGGGAAACCCUGAACGAGCAAUGCCGCGUGAACGAUGAAGGCCCUUUGGGUUGUAAAGUUCUGUUGUUUGGAAAGAAUUAUCAGUUUAGGAAAUGAAACUGAUUUGACGGUACCAUUCAAGAAAGCCACGGCUAAUUACGUGCCAGCAGCCGCGGUAAUACGUAAGUGGCGAGCGUUAUCCGGAUUUAUUGGGCGUAAAGGGUGCGCAGGCGGUUUAUAAGGUCUAAAAUCAAAUCUUGAGGCUUAACCUCAUGUCGUUUUAGAAACCGAUAGACUUGAGUAUGGUAGAGGCAAAUGGAAUUCCUAGUGUAGCGGUGGAAUGCGUAGAUAUUAGGAGGAACACCAGUGGCGAAGGCGGUUUGCUGGACCAUUACUGACGCUCAUGCACAAAAGCGUGGGGAGCAAAUAGGAUUAGAUACCCUAGUAGUCCACGCCGUAAACGAUGAGUACUAAGUGUCGGGUUACCGGUGCUGAAGUUAACACACUAAGUACUCCGCCUGAGUAGUACGGUCGCAAGGCUGAAACUUAAAGGAAUUGACGGGCACCCGCACAAGCGGUGGAGCAUGCUGUUUAAUUCGAAACUACGCGAAAAACCUUACCUAGACUUGACAUCCCCGGCAAAACUAUAGAAAUAUAGCGGAGGUUAUCCGGGUGACAGGUGGUGCAUGGUUGUCGUCAGCUCGUGUCGUGAGAUGUUUGGUUAAGUCCAAUAACGAGCGCAACCCUCGUCUUUAGUUGCUAACAUUUAGUUGGGAACUUUAAAGAGACUGCCAGUGCAAACUGGAGGAAGGUGGGGAGGACGUCAAAUCAUCAUGCCCCCUACGUCUAGGGCUACAGGCGUGCUACAAUGGCCGAUACAACGAGUUGCAACAUAGCAAUAUGAAGCUAAUCUCUGAAAGUCGGUCUCAGUCCGGAUUGGAGUCUGCAAUUCGACUCCAUGAAGUUGGAAUCGCUAGUAAUCCCGAAUCAGAAUGUCGGGGUGAAUAAGUUCCCGGGUGUUGUACUCACCGCC
rnacentral:rRNA from 1 species